AUAAGGGCACAUGGUGGAUGCCUAGGCUCUCGGAGGCGAUGAAGGACGUGAUAAGCUGCGAAAAGCCGCGGUGAGGUGCAAAUGACCUUUGACCCGCGGAUCUCCGAAUGGGACAACCCGGUGUCCUGAAGGGACAUCAUCUGUCAAUGACAGAGGCUAACGCAGGGAACUGAAACAUCUUAGUACCUGCAGGAAAAGAAAAUAAGAAUGAUUCCCCCAGUAGUGGCGAGCGAACGGGGAAGAGCCCAAACCGCGGGUGUUACGGCACCCGCGGGGUUGUAGGACCACGAGAUUGCAAGACAAAGGCGAGGGGAAGGCGCUGGAAAGCGCCGCCAUAGAGCAUGAAAGCUGCGUACCCGAAACCGAUGGAAGCAUAGUGGUAUCCUGAGUAUCGCGGGACACGAGGAAUCCUGCGAGAAUCCGCCGGGACCAUCCGGCAAGGCUAAAUACUCCCGAGAGACCGAUAGUGAACCAGUACCGUGAGGGAAAGGUGAAAAGUACCCCGCACAGGGGAGUGAAACAGACCCUGAACCCAUGUGCCUACAAGCGGUCGGAGCACCGAAAGGUGUGACGGCGUGCCUUUUGCAUAAUGAACCUACGAGUUGCCGUUGCCGGCAAGGUUAAGCGCGAGAACGCGCGUAUCCGAAGCGAAAGCGAGUCCGAAGAGGGCGUCCAGUCGGCAGUGGCAGACGCGAAACCAAGUGAUCUACCCUUGUCCAGGAUGAAGUCUGGGUAACACCAGAUGGAGGUCCGCACCAAUAAGCGUUGAAAAGCUUCUGGAUGAGAUGAGGGUAGGGGUGAAAGGCUAAUCAAACUUGGAGAUAGCUCGUACUCCCCGAAAUGCAUUUAGGUGCAGCCUGCGUGAUUACCGGCAUGAGGUAGAGCGACUGAUAAGAUGCGAGGGCUUCGCCGCCUAUCAAGUCUUGACAAACUCCGAAUGCUUGCCGGUUUGACACGUGGAGUGAGGGGCCGGGUGCUAAGGUCCGGUCCCGAGAGGAGAAGAAUCCUGACCAUCGUCUAAGGUCCCGAAAUGACGGCUGAGUUAGUCAAACGAAGUAGGAUUGCCGUGACAGCUAGGAUGUUGGCUUGGAAGCAGCCAUUCAUUUAAAGAGUGCGUAACAGCUCACUAGUCGAGGAAUCCUGCGUGGAUAAUAAUCGGGUAUAAGCCGUCUGCCGAAGACGUGGAAUCUCUAGAGAGAUUGGUAGGGGAGCAUUCCAUUCAGCGUUGAAGGCGCACCGCGAGGUGCUCUGGAGCGUAUGGAAAAGCAAAUGUAGGUAUAAGUAACGAUAAAGGGGGUGGGAUGCCCCCUCGCCGUAAGACUAAGGUUUCCUGAUCAACGCUAAUCGGAUCAGGGUAAGUCGGGUCCUAAGGCACAGCCGAACGGCGUAGCCGAUGGAAGAAACGGUUAAGAUUCCGUUACUGCCGCACGGAGUGACGCGGGGACGGAGGAGUGACAGUGCCGCCGCCUGACGGAAUAGGCGGUUGAAGGGUGUAGGCGUUGAUUGCCGCAGGCAAAUCCACGGCAAGAGCCGAACCUGACAGUAUGGGGCGUUCCCCGGAACAACCCAAUAGUGCACGUAAACAGACUCCCUAGAAAAUCCGCUAAACAUAAUCCGUGUGGUACCCGUACCGCAAACGGACACACGUAGUCGGGUAGAGCAUACCAAGGCGCUUGAGUGAAUCACGGUUAAGGAACUAGGCAAACUGACCCUGUAACUUCGGGAUAAAGGGUCCUCACAGGAAUGUGAGGCGCAGAGAAUCGGUCCAGGCAACUGUUUACCAAAAACACAGGGCUGUGCGAAUUCGCAAGAAGCAGUAUACAGCCUGACACCUGCCCGGUGCCGGAAGGUUAAGAGGAGAUGUCACCGCAAGGGAAGCAUUGAAUUGAAGCCCCGGUAAACGGCGGCCGUAACUAUAACGGUCCUAAGGUAGCGAAAUUCCUUGUCGGGUAAGUUCCGACCUGCACGAAUGGUGUAAUGAUCUGGACGCUGUCUCAACCGUGAGCUCAGUGAAAUUGUAGUAUCGGUGAAGAUGCCGAUUACCCGCGAUGGGACGAAAAGACCCCGUGAACCUUUACUAUAGCUUAGCAUUGGGGCCGGGCACGUGAUGUGUAGGAUAGGUCGGAGGCUAUGAAUCUGUGACGCCAGUCAUGGUGGAGCCGCUGUUGAAAUACGACCCUUCAUUUGUCUGGUCCCUAACGCGCAGCGCGCGGACAUUGCUUGGUGGGUAGUUUGACUGGGGUGGUCGCCUCCAAAAGCGUAACGGAGGCUUCUAAAGGUGCCCUCAGGACGAUCGGUAACCGUCCGCAGAGUGUAAUGGCAUAAGGGCGCUUGACUGUGAGACAGACAGGUCGAGCAGGUAGGAAACUAGAGCAUAGUGAUCCGGUGUUUCCGUAUGGAAGGGACAUCGCUCAAAGGAUAAAAGGUACUCCGGGGAUAACAGGCUGAUCCCUCCCAAGAGCUCAUAUCGACGGAGUGGUUUGGCACCUCGAUGUCGGCUCGUCACAUCCUGGGGCUGGAGAAGGUCCCAAGGGUUGGGCUGUUCGCCCAUUAAAGUGGCACGCGAGCUGGGUUCAGAACGUCGUGAGACAGUUCGGUCUCUAUCUAUCGUGGGCGCAGGAAAUUUGCGUGGCUCUGACACUAGUACGAGAGGACCGUGUUGGACAGACCUCUGGUCUACCGGUUGUGCCGCCAGGCGCACCGCCGGGUAUCCACGUCUGGAUCGGAUAAGCGCUGAAAGCAUCUAAGUGCGAAGCCGGCCACAAGAUUAGAUUUCCUUACGAGGGUCGUCACAGACGAUGACGUUGAUAGGAUGCAGGUGUAUAGAUGGCGACAUCACAGCCGAGCAUUACUAAUUGCCCGAAACUUCCUUCC
rnacentral:rRNA from 1 species